UUUUAUUUUAAUUCUAUCACUGAUGACUAUUCAGCUUUCUUAAGGCUUAAUUUAGCUAUCUAUAAAAUGAGCAUUUUAAUCAAUGAUUAAAAGAUGUCUUGUUCUGACCAACUGUUCUGGUCUCUAGUCCCACACAGUCAUUUGCAGGUAUCCGGAGGAACCUAUUUGAAAGUAACUGUCUAUUGUUUCUCCUUUAUUUACAAGGGUUCUGGGGAGGAGUGAAAAUGACAAAAGAGAGGUGGCAGGAAGGAGGAGGAUGUUUGAGUAUUCCCACAAACGGUUGAUUAGUCAGUGAAUUAAAGAGAGUUCUUGUUCCUGGAUAAUUUGGAAUGAACACAUUUCCUGUUCACUCAGAGAUACAGCAGCGAGUUUAUUCUGGGUGGCUUCCACAGUGACCAUUGUGGAGAAGAAAUCUUGUAAUAUAAUUGAAGAACAAUAGCCAUAUAAUUAACACAGAUGUUCAGAUACCUUGACUAUGAAUAAUAGUUUCAAUAAGGAAGACAGAAUGAGUUCUGACACGAUGGUUGGGAGCUGUGACAGGCAGACGAAAAAUGGAGCCAAAUGGCAUGGAGGUGUGUCAUCACUGCUGGAUUUUACCUUGAUCUACAUUCAGUUAUCUACUUCUUUUCAAAAUGCUGGGCAUUCAUUCAAGAAACAGCAUAUAUGUUCUGACUUUGAAGUAAUGGAUGAACUGUCAUGUGCAGUAUAUGGAAAUAAGUUUUAUUACCUUCUUCCCACAUUAACUCAUCCAUCCAUUCAAUAGCCAUUUAUUGAGAAGCUCACUCUGUGUUAGGCACAGUGGUGUCAUGAUGUUGGAACAGUAACAAUAACUCAACCAACCAGGGCUUGUCUGAAUACAAUCCUACAGCAGCAGGAGCUGUGGAGAUAUAGAAGGCAAGGAAGACCAGGUUGUGAGGGAAGACGAAUUUACUCCCAGGAAUGUUGGGAUUGAGAGUAAUAUUCUCCAAUAAUGGUGGAAGACAGAACAAUAAAAGCCCACCAGCUCCUUCUGCAUGGUGGGAUAAGAGAAAAGCCAAGGGCAGAAGUGAGAAAAAUAACCAUCACCAAACUGAAAAGAAAACCUUUAUAAAAAAACUGGAUUGAUAAAUGACCUUUAGUAGUGGAAAGAUACCAUUCCAAUGAAGCAUGAAUUGAAAGGAUUUCUUCUGAAAGCUAAUUUACAUUUUUCUUUUUUUUUUUUUCAUUUUCAGUGUGUUUUAGCAGGUGUAUUGUUCUACAUGGUUAGUUUCUUUACCUCUUUGAGAAAAAUGGGUCAGCUUGACACAUCUGGAUGAAAGAAUCCGUUAGGUGAUUAUGAUUGAAGACAGAUUAAGCCUUGUUAUGAGGGGAAUAUUUGGGGGCUUACCCUGAGGUGAUAUUUGAUGAUUUAGCUGUGGGAGAAUUUCCCUCCCAAGAUCAGCGUGACUGACACUGAAAUUGCUACAGGGGAACCGGACCUUUCCAAGAGGUGACAAGGACAUUUACCUGGUACAACACAAUGGUUCUGGACUGGAAGUCUAGUCCCAUUGAUGAAGUUCCCAAAAGAUGUCCAGGUCCUAAUCCCUGGAAUCUGUGAAUAUGUCAUCUUACACAUCAAAAGAACUUUGAAAAUGUGAUUGAGGUUAAGGACCUUGGAAUGAGGAGAUUACCUUGGAUUAUCUGGUUGGGUCCAAGCUAAUCACAUGAGUCCUUAAAGGAGAAGAACCUUUUUUAGCUGGGUCAGAGAGAGAUGUGAUGAUGAAAACAGGCUCAGGGAGAUGCACUGUAAGAAGGGCUUGACCAGUUGUUUUUGACUUUGAAGAUGGAGGGAAGGGCCAGGAGCCAAGGAAGGUGGGUGGCUUUUGGAAGGUGGAAAAAGCAAGGGAACAUUCUCUCCAGAGCCUCCAGAAAGGAGCUCAGCCCUGUUGACAUCUUUGUUUUUAUUUUUUAUUUUUAGUAGCAUUGAGGUCUCACUAUGUUGCACAGGCUGGUCUUGAACUCUUGAGCUCAAGCACUCCUCCCGCCUUGGCUUCCCAAAGUGCUGGGAUUAUAGGCAUGUGCCACCACAUCUGGCUUCCUACUGACAUCUUAACUUUAGUGCAGUGAGACUCAUAUUUGAAUUUCUGACCUUAUAUUAUAGAACCAUAAGACAUUAUAGAAUUAUAUAGAAUUAUAGAACCAUAAGACAAUAACUUUGUGUUGUUUUAAGAUACUAAAUUUUUGGUAAUUUGUUAUGGCAGCACAAUAAAACCAAUAUAGCAUUAUAUUAUGCCAAUAUCAUCUCUUUGUUGACUAUUGCUAUUAUAGUUUGUUUUAUGGGUCUUGUGUAAACAAUCAAGCUAUAAUAUUGGGUUAACUCCCUAAGGAAAACUUGGAAUAUAGAACAUUAUUUUAAAGACUGAAUUAGGUAAAUACACCUGCCAGUGAAUACAUUAACAAAUUAAUUAAUAUAUUCACUCUUUUCACUCACAAAUACUUUUUGAGCCCCUAUUACUAGCCAAACAUUUUGUUAGAUUCUGAGAAGGGUCUGCUAGACAACAUUGUGACUAUAGUUAAUAACAAUAUAUUGUACUCUUGAAAAUUACUAAGAGAGUAGAUUUUAAGUGUUCUCACCACAAAAAAUAAGUAUGUGAGGUAAUGCAGAUGUUAGUUAGCUUGAUUUAGCCAUUCCCCAGUGUAUACAUAUUUCAAACCUUCAUAUUAUACAUGGAUAAAUAUAUACAAUUUUUAUUUGUCAAUUAAAAGCCCCUCGAUGAAUACAGUUUCCAUUCUGUCCUUGAGGUGGAGCUUGUAGACUUGGUGGGGUCCGGGGAUCAACUUUUAAACAGGCAGUUCCAAAGUGUGGAGUGGAUAGGCUUAUUCUCUUUGUUGCUUUUAUGAUAGGUAUUUAGAAUGCACUUUCCUCUGUUAAGUUAAGCCAGCCACCAUUCCCUCAUUCAGUUUCCAUCCUCCAUGAAUUUGCUCACAUCUGCGGUCUACUGUCACUCAUUCUUUCCUUCUCUUCCUGAGGGCUUGUGUGACUUAUGUUCUUGGCUUUCUCUUAGGAACAUGGUGCAGCUUGGCCCUGCAUUAUCCAUCUGGAAAAACAGAUCAUAAAACAGUCCUUCUCUGUACUAAGUGCUAAAGUAGGAGGAAGGGCAUAAGUCAGCUCCCUGAGCUAUAUAUCCUUGUUUUCAGGAGCUGAGCUAGACACAAGCAGAACUUGCAAAUAAUUUACAUUUCUUUCUGCUGAGGUGGUUCAGAAUAAGUUGCAACAAACAUGAACAGGAAUGGUGCAGUAAAU
rnacentral:lncRNA from 10 species